rnacentral:rRNA from 1 species
CCUACGGGGGGCUGCAGUGGGGAAUAUUGGACAAUGGGCGAAAGCCUGAUCCAGCAAUGCCGCGUGAGUGAUGAAGGCCCUAGGGUUGUAAAGCUCUUUUACCCGGGAUGAUAAUGACAGUACCGGGAGAAUAAGCUCCGGCUAACUUCGUGCCAGCAGCCGCGGUAAUACGAGGGGAGCUAGCGUUGUUCGGAAUUACUGGGCGUAAAGCGCGCGUAGGCGGUUUUUUAAGUCAGAGGUGAAAGCCCGGGGCUCAACCCCGGAAUUGCCUUUGAAACUGGAAAACUAGAAUCUUGGAGAGGUCAGUGGAAUUCCGAGUGUAGAGGUGAAAUUCGUAGAUAUUCGGAAGAACACCAGUGGCGAAGGCGACUGACUGGACAAGUAUUGACGCUGAGGUGCGAAAGCGUGGGGAGCAAACAGGAUUAGAUACCCGAGUAGUC